UACGGAAGGCAGCAGUGGGGAAUAUUGCACAAUGGGCGAAAGCCUGAUGCAGCGUAUGCCGCGUGUAUGAAGAAGGCCUUAGGGUUGUAAAGUACUUUCAUCGGGGAGGAAAAAACAAAACUAAUAAUUUUAUUUCUUGACGUUACCCGAAAAAGAAGCACCGGCUAACUCCGUGCCAGCAGCCGCGGUAAUACGGAGGGUGCUAGCGUUAAUCAGAAUUACUGGGCGUAAAGAGCACGUAGGUGGUUUUUUUAAGUCAGAUGUGAAAUCCCUGGGCUUAACCUGGAACUGCAUUUUGAAACUGAAAUACUAGAGUAUCGUAGAGGGAGGUAGAAUUCUAGGUGUAGCGGUGAAAUGCGUAGAUAUCUGGAGGAAUACCUGUGGCGAAAGCGGCCUCCUAAACGAAUACUGACACUGAGGUGCGAAAGCGUGGGGAGCAAACAGGGAUUAGAUACC
rnacentral:rRNA from 1 species